rnacentral:rRNA from 1 species
UUUUAGUUUGACGCUUCGGUUGAUUUCUAAAAUGGACAGCGGCGCAUGGGAGAGUAACGCGUAGUUAUCUGCCCCGAGGUCCGGAAUAGCUGUGGGAAACUGCAGGUAAUGCCGGAUAAUAUCUACGGAUCAAAGGUGUGAUUCCGCCUUGGGAGGAGACUGCGUACUACUAGCUUGUUGGUGGGGUAAUGGCCUACCAAGGCUUUGAUGGUUAGCGGGCGUGAGAGCGUGGCCCGUCUCACUGGGACUGAAACACUGCCCAGACACCUACGGGUGGCUGCAGUCGAGAAUCUUCGGCAAUGGGCGAAAGCCUGACCGAGCAAUGCCGCGUGCGGGAUGAAGGCCUUCGGGUUGUAAACCGCUGUCAGUAGGGAGGAAGGGUUCGUGAAGAGCGAAUCUUGACCUAUCUUCAGAGGAAGUCCGGGCUAAGUUCGUGCCAGCAGCCGCGGUAAUACGAACCGGACAAACGUUAUUCGGAAUUAUUGGGCUUAAAGGGUGUGUAGGCGGCAAUGUAGGUGGGGUGUGAAAUCCCUCGGCUCAACCGAGGAACUGCGCCCCAAACCACAUCGCUAGAGGGAGACAGAGGU